rnacentral:rRNA from 1 species
CAGCCGCCGCGGUAAAACGAAGGGGGCUAGCGUUGUUCGGAAUCACUGGGCGUAAAGGGUGCGCAGGCUGGUUCUUAAGUCAGGGGUGAAAUCCCGAGGCUCAACCUCGGAACGGCCUUUGAUACUGGGGAUCUUGAGUCCGGAAGAGGUGAGUGGAACUGCGAGUGUAGAGGUGAAAUUCGUAGAUAUUCGCAAGAACACCGGUGGCGAAGGCGGCUCACUGGUCCGGAACUGACGCUGAGGCACGACAGCGUGGGGAGCAAACAGGAUUAGAUACCCCCGUAGUCCCUGUCUCUUAUAC